rnacentral:rRNA from 1 species
AACGAACGCUGGCGGCAUGCUUAACACAUGCAAGUCGAACGGACUUAUGGGGCUUGCCUCAUAAGUUAGUGGCAGACGGGUGAGUAACGCGUGGGAAUGUACCUUUUGGUUCGGAAUAACUACGGGAAACUGUGGAUAAUACCGGAUAAGCCCGUGAGGGGAAAGGAUUUAUCGCCAAAAGAAGCAGCCCGCGUUAGAUUAGGUAGUUGGUGGGUAAGGACCGUACCAAGCCGACGAUCUAUAGCUGGUCUGAGAGGA